CCCCUCAGCCUCCUCUACUCCAGGCUGAACAAGCCAAGUGAUCUCAGCCAAUCCUCAUAAGGCUUGCCCUCUAGACCCUUCACCAUCUUUGUUG